rnacentral:rRNA from 1 species
CCCUUAGAUGUUCUGGGCCGCACGCGCGCUACACUGUUCGACGCAGCGAGUCUUAACCUUGACCGAAAGGUUUGGGUAAUCUUCAGCAAAGUCGAACGUGAUGGGGAUCGAUCAUUGCAAUUAUUGAUCGUGAACGAGGAAUUCCUAGUAAGUGCAAGUCAUCAGCUUGCGCUGAUUACGUCCCUGCCCUUUGUACACACCGCCCGUCGCUACUACCGAUUGAAUGGUUUAGUGAGAUCUCUGGAUUGACGCUGGCUAGGGGGCGACCCUUGGCCAGACUGUUGAGAAACUGCUCAAACUUGAUCAUUUAGAGGAAGUAAAAGUCGUAACA